UGUUUUAUAAUAGUAGUUGGUUAGGGAUGGCUCUGUUUAUUGUUGUUGAAAUCCACGAAAAUUCUUACAAUGUUUCUUCUAGUCAGGAUUAUGAAGUUAAUAUUGACUUGGUUUAUAGAAAACACAUGGUUGAAGGUCCUGUCCAUCAGAUACGGUUGAAGGCAUUUGACAUCUCUGAAGUACCUAAAUUCUUAUUAGAUGACAGAUCAUUUGGAUUUAAAAUACGUUUUCCAGCUGGGGAACGUGAAGACAAUUUAGAGGGAUGCAAUUCCAUUGAAGCUUCGUUUAGCAGCCACUGCGCUUAUAUUGAGAUAAAAAAUUGUGGUGCGCGUAUAUUGUACAAGAAAGAGCUGAUAGAGUUUCCACAAGCUUCAAUAUGGACUGUUAAAGCAAGAUCAGCAAAAGGUCGAACUGGAAUCUAGUAAGUCUGAUGACCAAAGUGACUCGAAAGUUCAGCUGAAAGAAAAGCUCAAGUCAUUGCUUCUAAGAGUGUAUCAGGGAGAUUUGGCACGAAACCAUAAAUAUGAUUAUGUGUUUCCACAUAUUACAGUUCCAAACUGGUCCAAUAAUCAAAGUAUUUGUUCUGAAAUGAGAAUUAAACUGCCUAGAAAUUUGCAGUCUGAUGGGAGAUGGAUGGGAAUCGCUGUAUGUGUUUAUUAUACUGUCCACAACCACAAGCAACUAGCUAUUUCUGGUGACAAUCAGGAUUUAACAAGUUUUCUCGACUUUUAUGCUCCUUUAGAUGGUCAUCGAGUUCACCUCACACGUCACAGCGUCUUUCAGGACCCUAAAGACAUUUUUGUUGAGUCAUCACAUUGAAUUUUGGUAUUUUAUAUACCCCACUUGUUUCUUUGUUUGGAAGGGUGUCAUCACGUUGGGGCUUCAUUUAAACGCAAUAACCCAGGUGUGAUGGUUAAAGAAUGUGGAAUCCGCCUUGUAUUCGAGCAAGAGAUUGAAGAGUUUAUGGAAACAUUAGUCCAGUGCAUGUUAUGAAGUCCAGAUGCCUAUCAUGAUUUUUUUUUUUUUAAUCAAAAUCUGUCGCAUCAAGUUGAGGAAAGAGUGGCAGGCUUUGACAACGGAAAAGAUUUUGGUUGCUCUUCCUCGCUGCAAAGGAUGCCUCAACGCAUGCCCAAGCUUCUACCAAGUAUUGAAAAUAUAGCAGAGUGGUGUACCUUUACAGAAACUAGUCCCUCCUAUACCGGUUUUCUCGUACCAACUAGGAAAAGGCAACUUGGAAGUAUUAUGUCCAGUGAAUCUUUGAUCAAAGCAUGUUUUCAGAAAAACUUCAAUGAGGGUGAAAUUUUUGAUUGCUGUUUUGCUGAGCGUGAGAUCCCACAGUGGUUUUCCUGUCAAGAUGUGAGGUCAGCGGAGAUCGAGCUAUCUUCAGAUAUUUGUAAUGAUCCUGAUUGGAUGGGAUUUGCUUUAUGUGGUCUUUUCUCUUUUACUACGCAUCCAGCUCUUGUUCGUACGAAUCUAGCUUCAGGACGUUCUGAAGUCUACCAAUUUCGUUGUAAAAUGCAGACCAACUCUUGUCCUGUGCGUUUAGUAUGCUACGGAAUAUUGGCUUCAAGCAACGAAUUAAUUUCGUUAAAUAAACGUGCAUUCAUUUGGGUCUUGUUCAUACCCCGUACAACGCAUGCACAUUUAUGGACUCAAACCGAUUGGGUUGAGUUUUGGCUUGAA